rnacentral:tRNA from 1 species
GCCUUGGUGGUGAAAUGGUAGACACACAGGACUUAAAAUCCUGUGGGAGCAAUCCCGUGCCGGUUCGAGUCCGGCCCGAGGCA